CUUCAACGUUUUCAAUUGCUCCUAGCUUUGAAGUAGAAAGCAGGAUCAAGUCUAGUUUAAUGGAUUGCAAUUCUGGCAUUAUGACGACCUCUAAAUUGCUCCUUUUCUUGUUCAUGAUGUUUUCCCCUAGCUCUCGCAUGAUCCUGGUAGAUAAUACUGUGGACCUGUAAUGCUGAUUUAAGACACCCUUGAAGUGACAGAAUGUUAGAAGCAAGCUCCCUCAGCAAUUCUGUUAUCUGUUGAUGUUUCUCCCAAGGAUUACAAAACCAAAAUCUUCCAUGUGUAGGUUCCCACCUUGCAAAAUUCACCUGAAACUUAUAUGGAAUUUCAAUACCGGGUCUUGGAUUUUGGUUAGUUUAUGAAUUUUACAAGUGAAUUUAAGACUUGUCGUAACAACUUAAUUAAAAACUUGAUAUUUGGUGCAUGGUAUUUAAGUUUGAUAUGGAUAAGAGAUAUCACCAGUGAUUCAUCACUUGAGUUCGAGUGCAAAACUGAGUUGCAACUGCUGACAUGAAUGAUUGGGCGACUUUCCUUUUCAUCAACUACCAAGAAUGCUUCCAUGCAUUCUAGAAUUCAUCAAUGAUAAGUAAAAGAGUGUUAUGUAUGGGGUAUAACAUCAACAUGCAAGUACCUUCAAUGCAGGAAGCUAGUUGUUUAAACUUGGAGGAGGUGAGUUGAUGAAGUUCAUCAGUAGCCCACAUGGGAAAUACAAGUAAACCGAUGAAUAUACAGACAGCAAAACCCAUGGCAACUGCUGAAAGACGAUGGUGGGCUAAUUCCAUGACUUGAUGAUCACCAUGCAAGCUUGAUGCUGCUACAAGGUUAAAGGGUUUUUUUACAAGUUUGUUAAUGCUUCUGGAAACCCUAUGGCUCCAUAGAAGGCAUGUAGAACACAUUAACUCGACCUAGAAGAGUAGUUUGUGUAGGAAUUGGGAUGAGGCUUACACACACACAGAGACAAGAACAUUUAUAUUUAUGGUUUGUGAAGAGUGUAUGGUUUCUCACCCAUCCCAAUGAAGCUAGAUUUUUAAUAUUAAUAUACUACUGAUUAUAAUGUACAGUAACUUAAUAGGUAAUUGACAUGUCUUAUCUAUCAAUCGGACUUGCAUUUUAUGUUGUUGGAGUCAUGGCUUAGAUUAUGAAGACAUGAAAGGAAGAAAAGCAUAAAUGAUAAUGAUGAUAAGAGGAUAUAGAUAUAUCGUGCACCAAAGAAUUUUCCCAUGCACAGGAUAAAUAAGAUGGGACUUAUUGAAUACGAUGGAACAGAAUUACCCUAAAUCAUAACGAGCGCACUUCACU